rnacentral:rRNA from 1 species
ACUCCUACGGGAGGCAGCAGUGGGAAGUAUUGCACAAUGGGCAGGCAGCCAUGAUGCAGCCAUGCCGCGUGUGUGAAGAAGGCCUCGGGUUGUAAAGCACUUUCAGUCGUGAGGAAGGUAGUGUAGUUAAUAGCUGCAUUAUUUGACGUUAGCGACAGAAGAAGCACCGGCUAACUCCGUGCCAGCAGCCGCGGUAAUACGGAGGGUGCGAGCGUUAAUCGGAAUUACUGGCGUAAAGCGCAUGCAGGUGGUUUGUUAAGUCAGAUGUGAAAGCC